ensembl:lncRNA
CUCUUCAUUCUUUUAUCAUAUCACAACAUUUGUCAGGUUUUAUUGAGUGCAUUGCUUUUAUAAUAUAUAUUUUGUCAAUGUUUUUCCUGGGACGCUAAAUCCAAGCUUAAUGAACCUGGACGCACAAUGCAUAUGAAGUUUCAUAAAAUUCUGCCAAUGGGGGCGAUACAACUGAAAAACCACUACCACUAUAACCGUAUGAUACAUGUAGUUAAAAAUUGGUAUCCACCUUUAGUUGGAUGACCUUACAUAUCUACUAUGACUUGGACAACUCAAAAAACAUGGCAAAUUUUCUUAUAAACUUUAUUAUACAUUUUCUUACAAUAACUAUUAUUUGAACAUCUCUAAGCAAGCAGUAUUGACAGAUGCAAGUACUGCUGCUUCAAGUCGAGGCGCCAGACGUUACCAGGACUCUCGAGCCCCGGAAGAUGCUGAGGCGUGAGUGGAGGGAUGGAAAGGCCACUCACAUCAGCCUGCCAGACACAAAGCUGACCAAAGACAGAAAACAACAGGGUUGCCGUGACAGAAGCUGUUCUUCAUGUCUUACUCCAUGACCUGAAACCAAAAACAAAUCAGCGUUAUUAGUCUAAAUACAUUACAUUUGAAGCAAAUCUGACUGGCAAGAAGUUUAUGGCUGAUGAUCAAACCAAACCAGAUAUGAGAAAAAAACAUCUAGCUCAUUUUAGUACCUUAAACCAGUCAUGGAGAUGCAUCUCCAGAUUGAUUCUCUGCUGUGGAUCAGACUGCAGACAUGCAGAAAUCAUCUGGCAGCAUUCUAUGCAAAAAGUUGAGAAAUGUUUGAUUAUCAGCUGAUACUUUAUACUUGCUCUCUUUCAAGCUGCGAGUCUUUUUUAUGAUUUAUAAAACAAAUUGUUCUUCUUUGAAGGCCCGGUCUGCUCGUGGUCUGUGGGAUAAUAUCCGCACGCCAUCAUGAAAAGGAGGAUCCCUAGUGACCAGACAGUUGUUGGCUUUGCAAUGUAUCUGCCGUUCAUGGUGAACUCUGGUGGUCAGUAUUCUUUUGUCCCUGGGGAAAAGAGAUUUUGUCAGUUUAAGCAUGUUGACUAUAAAGGAUGCAAUUCUGUGAGAUAAUUAACAAAGCAGUUCAUAACGCAU